rnacentral:rRNA from 1 species
GAGCUUGAUCAUGGCUCAGAUUGAACGCUGGCGGCAGGCCUAACACAUGCAAGUCGAACGGUAACAGGAAGCAGCUUGCUGCUUCGCUGACGAGUGGCGGACGGGUGAGUAAUGUCUGGGAAGCUGCCUGAUGGAGGGGGAUAACUACUGGAAACGGUAGCUAAUACCGCAUAAUGUCGCAAGACCAAAGAGGGGGACCUUCGGGCCUCUUGCCAUCGGAUGUGCCCAGAUGGGAUUAGCUUGUUGGUGGGGUAACGGCUCACCAAGGCGACGAUCCCUAGCUGGUCUGAGAGGAUGACCAGCCACACUGGAACUGAGACACGGUCCAGACUCCUACGGGAGGCAGCAGUGGGGAAUAUUGCACAAUGGGCGCAAGCCUGAUGCAGCCAUGCCGCGUGUAUGAAGAAGGCCUUCGGGUUGUAAAGUACUUUCAGCGGGGAGGAAGGGAGUAAAGUUAAUACCUUUGCUCAUUGACGUUACCCGCAGAAGAAGCACCGGCUAACUCCGUGCCAGCAGCCGCGGUAAUACGGAGGGUGCAAGCGUUAAUCGGAAUUACUGGGCGUAAAGCGCACGCAGGCGGUUUGUUAAGUCAGAUGUGAAAUCCCCGGGCUCAACCUGGGAACUGCAUCUGAUACUGGCAAGCUUGAGUCUCGUAGAGGGGGGUAGAAUUCCAGGUGUAGCGGUGAAAUGCGUAGAGAUCUGGAGGAAUACCGGUGGCGAAGGCGGCCCCCUGGACGAAGACUGACGCUCAGGUGCGAAAGCGUGGGGAGCAAACAGGAUUAGAUACCCUGGUAGUCCACGCCGUAAACGAUGUCGACUUGGAGGUUGUGCCCUUGAGGCGUGGCUUCCGGAGCUAACGCGUUAAGUCGACCGCCUGGGGAGUACGGCCGCAAGGUAAAAACUCAAAUGAAUUGACGGGGGCCCGCACAAGCGGUGGAGCAUGUGGUUUAAUUCGAUGCAACGCGAAGAACCUUACCUGGUCUUGACAUCCACGGAAGUUUUCAGAGAUGAGAAUGUGCCUUCGGGAACCGUGAGACAGGUGCUGCAUGGCUGUCGUCAGCUCGUGUUGUGAAAUGUUGGGUUAAGUCCCGCAACGAGCGCAACCCUUAUCCUUUGUUGCCAGCGGUCCGGCCGGGAACUCAAAGGAGACUGCCAGUGAUAAACUGGAGGAAGGUGGGGAUGACGUCAAGUCAUCAUGGCCCUUACGACCAGGGCUACACACGUGCUACAAUGGCGCAUACAAAGAGAAGCGACCUCGCGAGAGCAAGCGGACCUCAUAAAGUGCGUCGUAGUCCGGAUUGGAGUCUGCAACUCGACUCCAUGAAGUCGGAAUCGCUAGUAAUCGUGGAUCAGAAUGCCACGGUGAAUACGUUCCCGGGCCUUGUACACACCGCCCGUCACACCAUGGGAGUGGGUUGCAAAAGAAGUAGGUAGCUUAACCUUCGGGAGGGCGCUUACCACUUUGUGAUUCAUGACUGGGGUGAAGUCGUAACAAGGUA